rnacentral:snRNA from 1 species
AGCUUUGCGCAGUGGCAGUAUCGUAGCCAAUGAGGUUUAUCCGAGGCGCAAUUAUUGCUAAUAGAUUAUCUAUUCUG